rnacentral:rRNA from 1 species
GUCUUUUUGAUAAUAAUUUAAAGUCUGGCCUGCCCAAUGAUAAAUUUAAUGGCCGCAGUAUUUUGACUGUGCAAAGGUAGCAUAAUCAUUAGUUUUUUAAUUGAAAGCUAGAAUGAAGGGUUUGAUGAAAAAUUAAUUGUCUCUAAAUAAAUUAAUGAAUUUUAUUUUUAAGUUAAAAAGCUUAAAUUAUUUAAAAAGACGAGAAGACCCUAUAGAGUUUUAUAUAAAUUUAAAUUAGGUUUUAAAGGAUUAAAUAAAUUUAUAUUAGAUUUAUAUUUAAUUGGGGUGAUUAAAAAAUUUAAAAAACUUUUUUAUUAUGUUAAUAUUAAUUAAUAGAUAUAUGAUUUUUUAUUAAAAAUUAUAAGAAAAAAUUACCUUAGGGAUAACAGCGUAAUUUUUUUUAGAGUUCUUAUUGAAAAAAGAGAUUGCGACCUCGAUGUUGGAUUAAAAAAAAGGUAUGGUGAAGAAGCUAUAUUUUAAGUCUGUUCGACUUUUAAAUUUUUACA